UUCACAAACCCUAACCCCUUAAAACCCCCCUUCUCCCAAAACACAGACACACACAGAGAGGAGAGGAGAGCUUCUGAGAGAGCUGAGGAAGAAGAGAGAGCUCGGAAUCGGAAGGGAAGGAGCUGCACUCUACGCCGUCCAGUUGCUCUGCCACCGUGCCACCGUCGCGCCCAGUUCGCCGCCGUCCUCCACGUCGUUGCCGCCACUGUUAGCAGAGAGGAGAGAAGUCGUGCGUUGAGAGCCAUCGCGUCUUGCCGCCAGGGGUCCAUCGCAGCCAACCCGUCGCGGGUGGUGUCGCCGCCGUCGAAAACAGUACCACAAAGAGGAGAGGAAGAACGAUGUUGGGAGGAAACUGAGUUGCAAGCCACUGACCGAGAAGAAGCUCUGUCUUCGUCACCGCGUUGGAGUCGUCCCCGCCAACACCGCGCACCGCCGUCAGCGCUGCCGUCGAAGGGAGCUCGCUGUCACAGUUCAAUCACCAUCGAGCUUGAAGGGAAAGGCCACUGAUAUUGCCCGACAGCAGCUUCCCUUGCGUUUCCAAUUUCAUUCUUGAAACUUGAUGCCGUCGCCGUCGUCAAUCUGGAUCCUAGCUCGUUGCUGUUGAUGAUGGUAAGCCAAACUGUCAUCCUUGAUGCUGGAGAAGGACAUCGGAGUUGCUAUUCUGGUUCUGAUGCAAUUUGUCCCUGUCCCGGAUCACCGUUGUCUUCCGUUCUGCUCCUGCUUCUAGUUGCGCCGGGUUGAACCAUUGUAACUAUAGAGCCGUGUUUGAUGGUGUUGUUGCGGAGAGUUUUCAGUGUAACUAAUACCACUGCCAUUGUUUCAUUCUCUUAGUACAGGUCAAGUUCUGUUGUGAAUGGUGCAUUUUGGGCUAUACGGCUACGGGAAUAGUCGGAGUCAAUGCCAUUUGAUUUCGGAAUGAGGAAAAAGGAAUUCUUCGACGUGUUUGGUUAGUGGUUUCGCGAGUUUCGAAAGCACAAGAUAGACAAUAGACGCCAUUGAUUCAGUGUUUGAACCUCUCAAAGGGUUCUCCAAAGACAGCGUAAGGCUCAUCAAGCGUUGCCAUAAACCCGAUGACAAAGAAUAUUACAAGGUUACUGUUAGUACUGAAAUCGGAAUUAUGGUUAUGGGAUUCAUUGGCUUCUUCGUCAAGCUCAUCUUCAUUCCCAUUAACAACAUCAUCGUCAGAUCUGGUUAGGAUGAUGAGAGCCACAAUCACACAUAGAGAGUUUUAAAACAAAUGGUAGCAGGAAUUCUUCCCACAUCAACUUCUUGUUAAUCAUAGUUUUUACAUCCUUCAUAUCUUUGGGAACAUUACAAUUUUAAUUUAAAUUUAACAUUUUUUUA